UACGUAGGUGGCAAGCGUUGUCCGGAAUUAUUGGGCGUAAAGGGCUCGUAGGCGGUUUGUCGCGUCGGGAGUGAAAACGCCGUGCUUAACCCUGGGCCUGCUUCCGAUACGGGCAGACUAGAGGUAUGCAGGGGAGAACGGAAUUCCUGGUGUAGCGGUGAAAUGCGCAGAUAUCAGGAGGAACACCGGUGGCGAAGGCGGUUCUCUGGGCAUUACCUGACGCUGAGGAGCGAAAGUGUGGGGAGCGAACAGG
rnacentral:rRNA from 1 species